UACGUAGGGGGCUAGCGUUGUCCGGAAUCAUUGGGCGUAAAGCGCGUGUAGGCGGUCCGGUAAGUCCGCUGUGAAAGUCGGGGGCUCAACCCUCGGAUGCCGGUGGAUACUGUCGGGCUUGAGUACGGAAGAGGCGAGUGGAAUUCCUGGUGUAGCAGUGAAAUGCGCAGAUAUCAGGAGGAACACCGGUGGCGAAGGCGGCAUCCUGGACCAAUAUUGACGCUGAGGAGCGAAAGCCAGGGGAGCAAACGGG
rnacentral:rRNA from 1 species